CGCGAACUGCGGAAUGGCUCAUUAUAUAAGUUAUCGUUUAUUUGAUAAUACUUUACUACUUGGAUAACCGUGGUAAUUCUAGAGCUAAUACAUGCUGAAAAUCCCGACUUCGGAAGGGAUGUAUUUAUUAGAUUAAAAACCAAUGCCCCUCGGGGCUCUCUGGUGAAUCAUGAUAACUAGUCGAAUCGACAGGCCUUGUGCCGGCGAUGGCUCAUUCAAAUUUCUUCCCUAUCAACUUUCGAUGUUUGGGUAUUGGCCAAACAUGGUGGCAACGGGUAACGGAGGGUUAGGGCUCGACCCCGGAGAAGGAGCCUGAGAAACGGCUACUACAUCCAAGGAAGGCAGCAGGCGCGCAAAUUACCCAAUCCCGACACGGGGAGGUAGUGACAAUAAAUACUGAUACAGGGCUCUUUUGGGUCUUGUAAUCGGAAUGAGUACAAUUUAAAUCCCUUAACGAGGAACAAUUGGAGGGCAAGUCUGGUGCCAGCAGCCGCGGUAAUUCCAGCUCCAAUAGCGUAUAUUAAAGUUGUUGUGGUUAAAAAGCUCGUAGUUGAACCUUGGGCCUGGCUGGCCGGUCCGCCUCACCGCGUGCACUGGUCCGGCCGGGCCUUUCCCUCUGCGGAACCCCAUGCCCUUCACUGGGUGUGGCGGGGAAACAGG
rnacentral:rRNA from 1 species